rnacentral:rRNA from 1 species
GACGAACGCUGGCGGCGUGCCUAAUACAUGCAAGUUGAGCGCUGAAGGUUGGUACUUGUACCGACUGGAUGAGCAGCGAACGGGUGAGUAACGCGUGGGGAAUCUGCCUUUGAGCGGGGGACAACAUUUGGAAACGAAUGCUAAUACCGCAUAAAAACUUUAAACACAAGUUUUAAGUUUGAAAGAUGCAAUUGCAUCACUCAAAGAUGAACCCGCGUUGUAUUAGCUAGUUGGUGAGGUAAAGGCUCACCAAGGCGAUGAUACAUAGCCGACCUGAGAGGGUGAUCGGCCACAUUGGGACUGAGACACGGCCCAAACUCCUACGGGAGGCAGCAGUAGGGAAUCUUCGGCAAUGGACGAAAGUCUGACCGAGCAACGCCGCGUGAGUGAAGAAGGGUUUCGGAUCGUAAAACUCUGUUGGUAGAGAAGAACGUUGGUGAGAGUGGAAAGCUCAUCAAGUGACGGUAACUACCCAGAAAGGGACGGCUAACUACGUG